rnacentral:rRNA from 1 species
UACGUAGGGUGCGAGCGUUAAUCGGAAUUACUGGGCGUAAAGCGCACGUAGGCGGGUUGCCAAGUCGGGGGUGAAAUCCUGGAGCUCAACUCCAGAACUGCCUUCGAUACUGGCGACCUUGGAGUCCGGGAGAGGUGAGUGGAACUGCGAGUGUAGAGGUGAAAUUCGUAGAUAUUCGCAAGAACACCAGUGGCGAAGGCGGCUCACUGGCCCGGUACUGACGCUGAGGUGCGAAAGCGUGGGGAGCAAACAGG